rnacentral:rRNA from 1 species
UACGUAGGGUGCAAGCGUUGUCCGGAAUUAUUGGGCGUAAAGAGCUCGUAGGCGGCCUGUCGCGUCGGCUGUGAAAACUCGGGGCUCAACCCCGAGCCUGCAGUCGAUACGGGCAGACUAGAGUGCUGUAGGGGAGACUGGAAUUCCUGGUGUAGCGGUGAAAUGCGCAGAUAUCAGGAGGAACACCGGUGGCGAAGGCGGGUCUCUGGGCAGUAACUGACGCUGAGGAGCGAAAGCGUGGGGAGCGAACAGG